UCUUAGGUUUAUCUACUCCCAUCCACACCACCCUGAAUGUAUGAAAUGUCAUCCAGUUUCAGAAGAUAAGCAGAGUCAGAUCUGGAUAGUAUUUGGAUGGGAGACCAACAUGGAAUACGAGCAAUUUUUGGU
rnacentral:rRNA from 1 species